GUGGGGAAUCUUGCACAAUGGGGGAAACCCUGAUGCAGCGACGCCGCGUGAACGAUGAAGCCCUUCGGGGUGUAAAGUUCUUUCGACAGGAACGAUAAUGACGGUACCUGGAGAAGAAGCUGCGGCUAACUACGUGCCAGCAGCCGCGGUAAUACGUAGGGGGCAAGCGUUGUCCGGAUUUACUGGGUGUAAAGGGCGCGCAGGCGGGAUAAAAAGUCAGUGGUGAAAUCCUACAGCUUAACUGUAGAACUGCCUUUGAUACUUUUAUUCUUGAGUUCGGGAGAGAGAGACGGAAUUCCAGGUGUAGUGGUGAAAUACGUAGAUAUCUGGAAGAACACCAGUUGCGAAGGCGGUCUCUUGGUCCGACACUGACGCUGAGGCGCGAAAGCGUGGGGAGCAAACA
rnacentral:rRNA from 1 species